rnacentral:rRNA from 1 species
CCUACGGGAGGCAGCAGUGGGGAAUCUUGCGCAAUGGGCGAAAGCCUGACGCAGCCAUGCCGCGUGUAUGAUGAAGGUCUUAGGAUUGUAAAAUACUUUCACCGGUGAAGAUAAUGACUGUAGCCGGAGAAGAAGCCCCGGCUAACUUCGUGCCAGCAGCCGCGGUAAUACGAAGGGGGCUAGCGUUGCUCGGAAUUACUGGGCGUAAAGGGAGCGUAGGCGGACAUUUAAGUCAGAGGUGAAAUCCCGGAGCUUAACUUCGGAACUGCCUUUGAUACUGGGUGUCUUGAGUGUGAGAGAGGUAUGUGGAACUCCGAGUGUAGAGGUGAAAUUCGUAGAUAUUCGGAAGAACACCAGUGGCGAAGGCGACAUACUGGCUCAUUACUGACGCUGAGGCUCGAAAGCGUGGGGAGCAAACAGGAUUAGAUACCCUGGUAGUCCACGCCGUAAACGAUGAUGUNUAGUGUCGGAGNUGUCUCUCGUGCGCNGCUACGCAUAAGUACACUCCGCCGUCGGGAGGUACGGUCGCGAAGAAGUUAAACGUUAACGUAAAGUUAGUUAAGUUAGUUACGGCGUGAGACGNGCCGACGGACGACGACGAGGGAGGAGG